UAUCUGCGGCGCGACUCUUCAAGACUGAGACUCAAGUCAUAGGGGAACGAUUGGCUGGGGCCUCAUGCCUUGCUAGGGUUUUGAACCGUCACCUCGUUUUCGGAGGGUUCUCCGCACGGCAGAGCGAUGCCGUCUACGGCAACCCUUUCUCGGCACAGGCCGAGUGUGAGAGAGGGUUUCUUUUGGCUCGGUGCAUUUGUGUGCUGGGCAAUUCGGUUUUGUGUGUGGGCGUUCUCAAAGAGGGUUGAUGUCAAUUUUGGGAUAUUGGUCUUCGGUUGGACGAUUGAAUGAUCUGAGGCAAAGGUGACUGGGAUCUAAGGCGAGUUUGAGGAUUUUGAAGGAGGAAAUUGUGAGUUUGUGUUCGCGAUGAACGACGAAGGUGGUAGCAAAUGCGCGUCGGUUUCCCUGCCUAAUCACCUGCCCGCUACUUUCAUUCCUUCCACUCCCUCUUCUAGAAUGUCCUAAGCAAGAGACAAAGGGCGUAUAGGUAUUUGAUUCGAUCACAACAGAAGGCAGCACGAAGAAGAUGAAGGGGACAGUGCGCGUCUAUUUGAAGUGCCAUCUGUGACCCAGUUCAUGUUGUUCUUGGUUGGCGGCGAGGGUCAUCAAGGAGGCGGAGGACAAAUGAGAAUAAGAUCGACAUCCACUCUGACCCCUUCAGGAUUUCUCCAAUAAAUUAAGCUUUGGAAGAAGAAUUUGCGAUGGGGGAGAGGAUUUGGGAGGAGUGAAGAAUGGUUUUCCCUGUUAAAGCAGAACUAUUGAAGCCCCAAGAGAAAAUGAAAAGACCCAUAACUGAUUUGAUUAAAAAGAGUUUGAGUCUUCAGUGACUAGCUCUAACAUGAGCACAUGUAUGAACUGAUUGGAAUCAUUGAAGGGUAAGCUGAACUAGAUCUACAAUUUAAUGUUUCAGAUGCAGAUCACAUUGACAGGUUGUGAUAAGGGCAAUUUAAUUUUAUUACAGAGGGGUGCAUCUAGCACCUGUUCUUGACCAGGUAAACCAUUUAUUUUUUGUUUGGAACAAUAAUCAUCAGUAUUUUAUAUAAUUUCUAUUUACCUUUCUUUUUCUAACUUAAUGAGUUUUUUCAUAUUGCCUAUAAAAACCUUUUUCUAUUUUUGUCUCUGUUUAUUUAUUAAUUUAUUUUCAUAUUUUUUUUAUGUUAUUGUAUGGUAAUAUUGUUCAAUUCAUCAAUAGAACAUUUAUUAUUUAUAUUGUUCUUUUUAUUAUAAUUCUUUCACUUUCAAGACUUUUUUUUCAUUAUAUAAUGCUUAUUAUUAUUAGUUUUCUUUUCAUGUUUGUUCUUUAUAGAUGGAUAAAUUUUUUGUUUCUAUAAAUUGUCUUAUUAGUGAUUGUAUUUUUGAUUAAUUAUUUAUUUACCUGAUACAGUUGGCUUUGUUGGUGAUUGUAUUAGUGAUUGUUUAAUGCAGUUGGUUUUGUAUCUUUUUCAUAGGAAUGAUAUUUUAUUUUGAGAUACAUGGCAUUCAUUCAUUUUUUUCGUCAUUUUUGGGAGAGCAAUCUUGACCAUCCAUUUUGAAAGAAAUCAUGUUGAUAAUGAGCUUUUAAUCAAUUUGUCUGUUGAUUUGAUCAUGGCUUACUCUCAUUCCGGAUUGAACCGUUUUUUCCUCAGAAUCGUCAUUUUUUUCCUUCAUUAUUUAGCUUAAGACUUUAGCACUUCCUUGUCUCGUACUUCUUCAUUUUUUUCUUUUUUCAUCAUCCCUAACUUCUAUUGGCGAAUGUUCUGACAAUGGCAGAGCAAAGCAAUCACUUGCUUUAUACACAAGGUGCUCUGCUUCAAUAGCUACACUAGUGAAGAUUGUUCGUGAGUCAAAGUGUGUGCUGCUUGAUUUUUUGGUUUGGUCUUUCUAUGAAGUGUGUUUCUUUCUGGGUGAUGGGAUAUGAGAUUAUUUAUUUGCUAUUUUAAUUUGAUGUGAAAAUGUAGGUUUUAGAUUGGAAAUUGUGGUAAGGGCAAUUUAAUUUUAUUACAGAGGGUGCAUCUAGCACCACUCAACUACAUCAUACCUAUUCUUGACCAGGUAAACCAUAGAUUUUUUUGUUAUCGGUAUUUUAUAUAAUUUCUUAAAGCUAGCUAUUUGCCAUUCUUUUUUUAACUUGAUGAGAUUCACUGAUUUCACUUGAUUAUUUUUUUGCUUUCUAAUAGGUAUUGUUUAAUACAAUUUUUUCUUUGUUGUAUAAUUUUUUCUUUGUUAUCUUAGAUUCCAGAUUAUGGUAAGGGAAAUUUAAUAUUACAGAGGGUGCAUUAGCACUGUCAACUAGAUCAUACUUGCUCUUGGCCAGGUAAAUCAUAGAUUUUUUGUUUGGAACAAUAAUCAUUGAUAAUUUCUUUAAGCUAGCUAUUUACUAUUUUUUUUUAACUGAAUGAUUUUAUUUUAAAUGGAUCAUUAGUGAUUGAUUAGUUAUUUAUUUACAAUCAGUUUGUCCAUUAAUUUGAUUGUGGUUACUCUCAUUCCGGAUUGAACCACUCGUCGCUUACUCUUCUUUUCAAUCCUCUAAGAUAUCACUUUCCUUUAUUAUUUUGCUCAUUCCUCCUUGUCUCCUACUUCUUCAUUUUCUCUUUCUUUGUCAUCCGUAACUUCUAUUGGCCAAUGUUCUCACAAUGGAGGAACAAAGCACUCACUUGUUUGUUUUUUUUUUACACAGGUGCUCUACUUCAGUAGCUACACUAGCAAAGACUGACUCAUUUUCUGUUUGUUUUUUUGGUUUUUUCCUUGGUCUUGGUCUUGUCUUUCCGUCUUGUUCAUUAUAUUAUUUUAUUAUACUCUUAUUUUUCUAUUAUUUUUUCUGUUUUUAUCUUUGUAUAUUUAUUAAUUUAUUGUCAUUUAUUUUGUUAUUGUAAUUAUUCAACUUUUAUUUAUUUGGUAAUAUUGUUCAAUUCACCAAUAGAAUAUUAGUUA